rnacentral:rRNA from 1 species
UACGAAGGGUGCAAGCGUUACUCGGAAUUACUGGGCGUAAAGCGUGCGUAGGUGGUUUGUUAAGUCUGUUGUGAAAGCCCCGGGCUCAACCUGGGAAUGGCAAUGGAUACUGGCAGGCUAGAGUGCGGUAGAGGGUAGUGGAAUUCCCGGUGUAGCGGUGAAAUGCGUAGAGAUCGGGAGGAAGCACCAGUGGCGAAGGCGGCUACUGGAC